rnacentral:rRNA from 1 species
CCUACGUGAGGCAGCAGUGGGGAAUAUUGCACAAUGGGGUGAACCCUGAUGCCGCGACGCCGCGUGAGUGAAGCAGUAUUUCGGUAUGUAAAGCUCUGUCAGCAGGUAAGAAGACAGACGUUACCUGACCCAGACGCCCCGGCUAACUACGUGCCAGCAGCCGCGGUAAUACGUAUGGGGCAAGCGUUAUCCGGAUUUACUGGGUGUACAGGGCACGUAGACGGCAGGGCAAGUCUGGAGUGCAAGGGAAGGGCCCAAACCCUUGACUGCUCUGGAAACUGGCCGGCUGGAGUGCAGGAGGGGUAAGUUGAAUUCCUAGUGUAGCGGUGAAAUGCGUAGAUAUUAGGAGGAAAACCAGUGGCGAAGGCGGCUUACUGGACUGUAACUGACGUUGAGGCUCGAAAGCGUGGGGAGCAAACAGGAUUAGAUACCCUAGUAGUC